GACGAACGCUGGCGGCGUGCUUAACACAUGCAAGUCGAACGGUGACACGAGAGCUUGCUCUCGUUGAUCAGUGGCGAACGGGUGAGUAACACGUUAGCAACCUACCCUUGACUCCGGGAUAACAGUUGGAAACAGCUGCUAAUACCAGCUACGCACUCAGCAGGCACCUGCCGAGUUGUAAAGCUCCCACGGUCAAGGAUGGGCUCGCGGCCUAUCAGCUUGUUGGUGAGGUAACGGCUCACCAAGGCGACGACGGGUAGCCGGCCUGAGAGGGCGACCGGCCACACUGGGACUGAGAUACGGCCCAGACUCCUACGGGAGGCAGCAGUGGGGAAUAUUGCGCAAUGGGCGAAAGCCUGACGCAGCAACGCCGCGUGCGGGAUGACGGCCUUCGGGUUGUAAACCGCUUUCAGCAGGGACGAAACUGACGGUACCUGCAGAAGAAGCACCGGCUAACUACGUGCCAGCAGCCGCAGUAA
rnacentral:rRNA from 1 species